GCUCCGGUGGCCUAGUGGUUAGAGCGUCCGCCUCGGAUGCGGUUGGUCACCGGUUCGAACCCCGGCCGAGUCA